UGAGCACCGAUUCAGCCCACUGAUUGGGGUUGGUGUGUGUUACCCAACAGUUUGUCACCAUUUUGUUGGAUUGGUGCCUUGUCAUGCAGCAUUCACCGAUCAUGGGUGGCUAAUGGGCUUUUUGCCAAUUUAAUAUUCCACAAUUUGUAUACGUGGCAAAUUUUGUAUAUUGACUACUCUGCAAUCCAAUACCUACUCCAAAAGGCUCAAACAGAGCUGGGUACUUGAGUAGGGUUCUCAACUACUUACUCUCUUCCUACUCGACCCAAAAAAAUUCUCUUGCACAAAUUUUUGCUUUUAGAUUCUUCUUAAGUUGUACACAACACCACCUACACCAAUGGCUUCAGGUUGAGCCGAUCUACAAAAGCCCCAAACUUCCAAAACUUGCCGUCACAGGAGUUUGCCACACGCGCCGCUCCUUGCUUUAUACUUUUCCAAUAUCGACUCGAACCGGCUUCGAUCACAUUCUCAAUGGAUCCAGACCAGAUAAGAAGCUCACAAUGGAAGGUCUCAGGUUUUCUGGAAAUGGAGAAGCAGAGAAGGAUAAUUCUAAUAUAGUCAUGCAAUUCCAUAUUAUGUGGAGUUCUUCUCAUCGUAAAUGCAAUGAAGAUUAGAAAGAACCAAACAUAUUUAGCUUCAUGUGGUACCCUCUGAUUAUAGAGAUGAAUUUUAUCAGGUAUGGUGCGUACCCUAAAUCUUGGGCUUGAGAAGACAAUGCAUAUCAAGAUCUCUGUGGCAUGAGAUAACUUGUGAAGGAUAUUUGAGCAGCUUGAGGUUAUGCUCGGUAGGUGGAGCUCAGCCUUGGAGGUCUCCAUAUAACCGUACAGGAUUCUGUUGCAACUACAUUUUUUUAAAAAAAAUUUGGUAAAAUCUGGUAGACCAUUUUUUAUAUGGUUUCCAGCAUGUGAAUUGGUGGGUUGUAAUAGCUUUGUUGCAGGAAUGUUCAACAUAUUGCUUUUAAUUGAAUGAUUGGUUGCCUUUUAAA